rnacentral:tRNA from 1 species
CGCAGGAUAGAGAAGUGGAAUCUCACAAGGCUCAUAACCUUGAGAUCGGCGGUUCAAAUCCGCCUCCUGCAA